rnacentral:rRNA from 1 species
AGAGAUGAUUAGUGGCGGACGGGUGAGUAACAUUUAGGAAUCUGCCUAGUAGUGGGGGAUAGCUCGGGGAAACUCGAAUUAAUACCGCAUACGACCUACGGGUGAAAGGGGGCGCAAGCUCUUGCUAUUAGAUGAGCCUAAAUCAGAUUAGCUAGUUGGUGGGGUAAAGGCCCACCAAGGCGACGAUCUGUAACUGGUCUGAGAGGAUGAUCAGUCACACCGGAACUGAGACACGGUCCGGACUCCUACGGGAGGCAGCAGUGGGGAAUAUUGGACAAUGGGGGCAACCCUGAUCCAGCCAUGCCGCGUGUGUGAAGAAGGCCUUUUGGUUGUAAAGCACUUUAAGCAGGGAGGAGAGGCUAAUGGUUAAUACCCAUUAGAUUAGACGUUACCUGCAGAAUAAGCACCGGCUAACUCUGUGCCAGCAGCCGCGGUAAUACAGAGGGUGCGAGCGUUAAUCGGAAUUACUGGGCGUAAAGCGAGUGUAGGUGGCUCAUUAAGUCACAUGUGAAAUCCCCGGGCUUAACCUGGGAACUGCAUGUGAUACUGGUGGUGCUAGAAUAUGUGAGAGGGAAGUAGAAUUCCAGGUGUAGCGGUGAAAUGCGUAGAGAUCUGGAGGAAUACCGAUGGCGAAGGCAGCUUCCUGGCAUAAUAUUGACACUGAGAUUCGAAAGCGUGGGUAGCAAACAGGAUUAGAUACCCUGGUAGUCCACGCCGUAAACGAUGUCUACUAGCCGUUGGGGUCCUUGAGACUUUAGUGGCGCAGUUAACGCGAUAAGUAGACCGCCUGGGGAGUACGGCCGCAAGGUUAAAACUCAAAUGAAUUGACGGGGGCCCGCACAAGCGGUGG